CAUCCUCUGACUUCAUCGUGAGGUGGAGGCCUUCAAAACCCCAGUGGACAGAGUAGGAGCUUAAGAUUGCCAAUCUACAGAAGCUACAUCAGAAUUUCACCUUGGCCCAGCUCACCUGUAACUCAUACCAGCCCCAGGAACAG
ensembl:lncRNA novel transcript